rnacentral:rRNA from 1 species
UGCCAGCAGCCGCGGUAAUACGGAGGGGGUUAGCGUUGUUCGGAAUUACUGGGCGUAAAGCGUACGUAGGCGGAUUAAUAAGUUAGAGGUGAAAUCCCAGGGCUCAACCCUGGAACUGCCUUUAAAACUCCCAGUCUAGAGUUCGAGAGAGGUGAGUGGAACUCCGAGUGUAGAGGCGAAAUUCGUAGAUAUUCGGAAGAACACCAGUGGCGAAGGCGGCUCACUGGCUCGAUACUGACGCUGAGGUGCGAAAGUGUGGGGAGCAAACAGGAUUAGAUA